UGCCAUCAAAGAGUCAAGUUGGCUUAGACUGCUGAGCGGGAGUCAGGGAAAUCAGGAGAGAAACGACUACAGGAUGGCUACGUUAGACCUCCAGAUCAAAUUCUGACAUCUAGUCCUCAAUCGAUCGCGCAACUUGGAUCCUACAAAACCACCAAAGAUAGAAAAUCCUACAUUGGGGGAUUCUCUGAUAGAGAACUCUCCGAUGCCUAAAACAGUCUCCUAUAGAAAUAAACAAAAAAGUUCUAAGCUUUCCUAAAAGAAUUUAGUAGUGGAGCUGAAUAUGAAAUAAGGUAAAUUGGAGAAAGGGAAUGG
rnacentral:lncRNA from 1 species